rnacentral:lncRNA from 1 species
GGUGAAGGCAAAAAGACGCUGCUUUGGCAUUCUCUUUGCAGCACAGAGAAGUUUACAUGAAGUAGAAGAAAUCCUUGCAGUGGUGAAAACUGACAUGGCAAGUGGCAGAAACCAGGUCUAACUACCAGCUGAUUGCAGUAGCCGGUCACAACUGCCCAGAGUGUAAUUCCCACCGAUAAGCGCGGAUCCUUAUCUUUGAAACACAAAGCGACGGCGGCACGGAUUCAUCAAGCCAUUGGACAGCUUCGCAGUGCAGCAGCCCAGGCUGCCCGGCCGAGCACCGCAGUCCUAUCAAGUUUGCUGUAGCUCAGAAGGCUCUGCCUACAUGACUACUGCAUACCCUACUGGGAGAAUUGGAAGAAUGUGAUGAUGGUAGGAGUCACCCAGCAUAGAAGCAUGAGUGAAUGACAUCCCAGAGAUCUGCAAAGGAUCCUGGUAGCCACUUCAAAGACUUUUUCUCCCUUCCUCAGACAAUCAUGGCACAUGGACAUCAGAGGAAGAAAUGGCGAAGUUUGUAUGACUCCUCCAGCAGAGUCCUUGGAAACAAUAAAGCUUCCUUUCCAAAUUCUGAGAAUUCUG